CUGGAGCGGAGAUACCUGUUCUUGUGCCUUGGAUGUAUUCUUUAUUUUUUAUGAUAGCAGGGGAAUUAGUGGAGGGUUAAUUGUUCAGUGCUUAUAGCUCUGUCUUUCCAGUUUACUGCAGAGCGAAAUACUGUAAAGACAAAGUAAAUAUUGUUUGACUUCUUCCCCUCCAGCCUCCCUUCUUUUCCAGUUUUCAAGAUGUGCAAGAUACUGAAGAGAUGGCAGUACAGAUGGGAAUACAAAUUUUGACUCUUUUUUUCUGGAGCUCCCUUGUUUUUGCAUGCAGUAUUGUAAGAACUUUCCAUAAUCUACAGCAGACUAGACCACAUCUAGAUCAUCUUGCCCCUUAAUGCUGUCACCUUAAAGGCUACAAAAGCUCAAAAAGAAGCUUCCAUGGGAAACCAAAGAUAAAGAGAAGUUUGGGAG
ensembl:lncRNA